AUUGAACGCUGGCGGCAUGCUUUACACAUGCAAGUCGAACGGCAGCACGGGGGCAACCCUGGUGGCGAGUGGCGAACGGGUGAGUAACACAUCGGAACGUGUCCAGUUGUGGGGGAUGACCCAUCGAAAGGUGGGCUAAUACCGCAUGAGCUGGCAACAGGAAAGCGGGGGACCCGCAAGGGCCUUGUGCGAUUGGAGCGGCCGAUGUCCGAUUAGCUAGUUGGUGGGGAAAGGCCUACCAAGGCUUCGAUCGGUAGCUGGUCUGAGAGGAUGAUCAGCCACACUGGGACUGAGACACGGCCCAGACUCCUACGGGAGGCAGCAGUGGGGAA
rnacentral:rRNA from 1 species